NNNUGAUUAGCUCAGCUGGGAGAGCACCUCCCUUACAAGGAGGGGGUCGGCGGUUCGAUCCCGUCAUCACCCACCA
rnacentral:tRNA from 1 species